CACCCCUAAAUGAUGUAACCUUGUGGUUUUUGCCUUUAAAAACUGAGCUUGCAGAGGGGCAGGCACCUCCUCCAGCCUCUCUUGUGUUGGAUGGCUGGAUGAGGGCCCUGCAUCUGCGGCCUGAACUGCUUCAAUAAACCUUGCUUUUGCAUUUCGCUCCAGGGAGUCAUCGGAAGAACUGCCUACUGCCUGUGCUCACUCUGCCGCCAGCCAAGGCAUUCAACAGGACCUGCUUUGGAGCUAUACCAAUGCCUCCUGCCGGCUGAAAAGUGCUGCUACACCCCUCAAAACCACGGAAAGGACCAAUUUGAUCCGGAGGGAAUGUUGGGCUUCUAAGACAUUUAUUUCCAUUUGGAAGUUUUUCUUCUUGGCACAAAAUGGCGUAUUGGGCAAAGAACUGCCCUUGCCUCAACUGCUGACAAUAUGAGUGCUGUCCUUCCUUACAAGUUGGACACAAGGAAAAGUGACUUCUGAACUCUGCCAAGACAGGGACAGUAGAGCAAGAAGUUGGGUGAUUCAUUUAAUCUCGCAUCUGUGAACAUCAGCAGAACCGUGGUUAUGGCAGGUUGUUUGAAAGUACUCUGUCUCCUUAGUCAAUUUAAAUACCAGAUUGGCUGCAACUGGCUUCAGCAGAACUGUGUUUGCUAGUCCAGCAUCCAUUCUGUCUGUGCUAUGUUGCAUAGCUUUGAUUCUCUGUGAGUCCUGUGGCCUUCAGUUCAACCCACUCCCUGACCAUCCAAUGGGAAUCAUCACAAUCCUGUACCUCAUUGACUCAGUGAGCUUUCAGCCAUGGCUGAAUGAAACAAAAGAUACGCAGCAGGGAUACAUUUGUGCAGAAACUAUCAUUCACCAUCCACUGAGGUCCAUCACGUCUGCUGCUGUGAUAAACCCUCUGACUGUAAUGCAACUUGUGGAGGAAAGAGUUUAUUGGACUUACAGAUUUCAGUUCAUCAUCAUGGGAAAGCCCAGGCAAGAACUCAAGCAGGUACAUGGAGACCAUGGAAUUGGAGCUCUCCUUAUUGUUUAAGGAAUAGGAAAUAGACUGUUUGAGACACUUGGGACAUGUCAAAAACAAAACACAGCAAAACCUCUGCUUUAGGGAAGCAGCAUCCAUCCUGAAACCAGAAAGCAGACAAAAACAGGACAGUUGCUGUUGCCAAGAGGCAAGAAAAGAUAUCACAUAGCCUACCACCAUCCUAGGAAGGAUCAAAAUUCUAAAUCUUAAAUCCUCUUUCUACUGAAUGCAGCUGGCUUCCACUCCCAGGUACAGUGAUAAAUGAUAGGUCCAUUCAAUAUAAAUCAGGGAUUAUUCAUCUGUGUCCUCAGUGUUAUUAAUCUCCUUUUUCAGCCCUACUUUCACCACAUUCCACAUUUUUUGGAAGCCGUGCUUUCAUUUAGUUAGGAAUAUUUUUUCAGUUCCUCUGGAGAUUUCUUCUUUGACCUGGAUGUUAAUUUAAAAGUAGUUGUUUAAUCCAACAGUAACUGGGUGCUCUCAGCCUCCAUCUACCCUUUCAUUCCCACUUAGCUCUGGAAGGCACUUAUGAUCUUUAUUUCUUUUAAAUUGCAAGUUUUUAAUGGCCCAAAGUUGUGGUGUCUCUUGGGGAAUGUUACACGUGAGCUCGGCUAACAUGUGUGCUGUGUUCCUGACGGGUAAAUUUCUUUGUAAAUGUUACUUACAUCCUGUUGACUGGGGACAGUGUUGAAUUCAGCUGUCUGCAGAUUUUCUGGCUGCUGGAUCUGUUUGUUUCUGAUAGCAUGACCUUAAAGUUUCCAACUGUAAUAGAUAGCUCGUCUGCUUGUCUUUGCAGUUCUUGCUGCUUUCUCCCAUAUGUUUUGAUGUGUUUGUUGUUGAAUGAAGACAUAUUGCAGGCUGUGAUGUAGUCAUGGUAACUGACCCUUUAAUAAUAACAAAAUGUACCUCAUUUAUACUUGAUGACUUUCCUUAACAUGAAAUCCAUCUUAUCUGAAAUCAUGUAUCUAUCAUGUUCUUUAACUGCUAUAAGCAUGUGACUUAUAUUUUACUCCUUUGUUACACUUAAUGUAAAUUUUCAGUUAACAAUAACAUGAGUCUUUUGCUUAUCUGUUAUUUGGUCCACCUGACAGUCUUUAAUCACAUUAAGUUUACUGGCAUUUGGAGUGGUUACUAUUACACUUAGAUCACAUCUACCAUAUUUGUUACUGUUUCCUAGUUAUCAAUAUUCUUUCUCCUUACUUUUGUACAAUUCCGUGUGUGUGUGUGUGUGUGUG